CCAAUAGCGUAUAUUAAGGUUGCUGCGGUUAACACGCUCGUAGUUGAAUUUCGGGAUUGAUGUAUUGGUCGUGCCUUAAGGGGUAUGAGCUGGUGUGGUCAAUUUCUUACCUUCUGGUGAAUUGUGAUGUCCUCCUUAAUUGGGUGUUUCAAUGAACUAGGACUUAUUACUUGGAAAAAAUUAGAGUGUUUAAAGCAGGCAUUAUUUGCUUGAAUAUAUUAGCAUGGAAUAAUAAAAUAGGACAAUGAUUCUAUUUUGUUGGUUUCUAGGAUCACUGUAAUGAUUAAUAGGGAUAGUUGGGGGCAUUAGUAUUCAAUUGUCAGAGGUGAAAUUCUUGGAUUAAUUGAAGACUAACUACUGCGAAAGCAUUUGCCAAGGAUAUUUUCAUUAAUCAAGAACGAAAGUUAGGGGAUCGAAGACGAUUAGGUACGUCGUAGUCUUAACCAUAAACUAUGCCGACUAGGAAACAGACAACGUUAAAUUUUUAAUGACUUUUAUGGCACCUUACG
rnacentral:rRNA from 1 species